CCAAAAGAAUUUGCUUGGGCACUGAAACUUUAUUGUUAUCACCGAAUUAUUUUUCCACUGGAAAGUGGAGAGAACUUAGGUGAAAGGCUGGGAGGUCUUUUGCUCCACUAAUUGCCAUGGCAAAAGAAGUAUAAAGUCUUUGAGCUUAAACUCUCUGGUUUGAAUAUAAAUUUUCCUAGCCGAAUUGAAUAGCAAGAAGUCCAAAUUGGAGUUGCUAAUAAAUGCAGAUAUUAUGUUAUUGAAUGAAAUAAGACCCAAAUACCUUGAAUAUCAAGUGCUUAAACGUCAAUGUGGACUGUUAUGAACGUUAAUGAUUCUGACUUGCAUUAAUGCCCAGGUGGAGGGUCUUCCUAUUUCAGCCCAAGGAUGCACUGUUAAGAAUACAAUUUCAUUUUCCACAGAACAAAGUGUGCUUUGUACACUUGCUGAUGCCAUUUGUAGCUGGGAAGAACUUUCUCGGAUUGCUUUGGAAUGAUGAAGAGUGUGUCUCUCAUCCAAGAACUGAAAUGAUACCUUCAGAGAUGAUAUCUCACUGUGUUGCCCAGGCUGGUCUCGAACUCCUAGCCUCAAGCCAUCCUUCUUCCUCAGCCUCCCAAAGCACUGGGAUUACAGGAACGAGCCACUGUGCCUAGUCUGUUUUUACUUUAUAAGAAAAGCAUAUAUAUUUGCCAUUGGACAUACCUCUUUUUUCUCAAAACGUCUUAUACCCACCUUUAUUUAGCUUGCUGUACCUUGUAAUCAUUACAAUGAAGAGUGAA
rnacentral:lncRNA from 13 species